UACGUAGGGGGCAAGCGUUGUCCGGAUUUAUUGGGCGUAAAGAGCGUGUAGGCGGCCAGGUAGGUCUGCUGUGAAAACUCGAGGCUUAACCUCGAGCUGUCGGCGGAAACCAUCUGGCUAGAGUCCGGAAGAGGAGACUGGAAUUUACGGUGUAGCGGUGAAAUGCGUAGAUAUCGUAAGGAAGACCAGUGGCGAAGGCGGGUCUCUGGACAGUUCCUGACGCUGAGGCACGAAGGCCAGGGGAGCAAACGGG
rnacentral:rRNA from 1 species